rfam:Trichoplax adhaerens TRIADscaffold_14 genomic scaffold, whole genome shotgun sequence.
CAAACGGCUUUUUUUAAAGCCACAUUUCUCAACAAAAGUCUUUAU